rnacentral:rRNA from 1 species
UAACUUUCAGCAAUGGAUCUCUAGGCUCUCACGUCGGUGAAGAACACAGUGAAAUGUGAUACGUAAUGUGAAUUGCAUAAUUCAGUGAAUCAUCGAAUCUUUGAACGCACCUUGCACCUUUUGGUUAUUCCGAAAGGUACACCUGUUUGAAUGUCACAAAACUC